rnacentral:rRNA from 1 species
CAGUCGCCGCGGGAAUACGUAGGGUGCGAGCGUUAAUCGGAAUUACUGGGCGUAAAGCGUGCGCAGGCGGUUCGUUAAGACAGAUGUGAAAUCCCCGGGCUUAACCUGGGAACUGCAUUUGUGACUGGCGAGCUAGAGUAUGGCAGAGGGGGGUAGAAUUCCACGCGUAGCAGUGAAAUGCGUAGAGAUGUGGAGGAAUACCGAUGGCGAAGGCAGCCCCCUGGGCCAAUACUGACGCUCAUGCACGAAAGCGUGGGGAGCAAACAGGAUUAGAGACCCCCGUAGUCCCUGUCUCUUAUAC